GACAGAGGGUGCAAACGUUGUUCGGAAUUACUGGGCGUAAAGAGCGUGUAGGCGGUUUGGUAGGUCCGCUGUGAAAACUCGAGGCUCAACCUCGAGACGCCGGUGGAAACCAUCAGGCUAGAGUCCGGAAGAGGAGAGUGGAAUUCCUGGUGUAGCGGUGAAAUGCGCAGAUACCAGGAGGAACACCGGUGGCGAAGGCGGAUCUCUGGGCCUGUCCUGACGCUCAGGCGCGAAAGCUAGGGGAGCGAACGGG
rnacentral:rRNA from 1 species